UACGUAGGUGGCAAGCGUUAUCCGGAUUUAUUGGGUGUAAAGGGCGUGUAGGCGGGAGCGCAAGUCAGAUGUGAGAACUCAGGGCUCAACCCUGAGCCUGCAUUUGAAACUGUGUUUCUUGAGUGCUGGAGAGGCAAUCGGAAUUCCGUGUGUAGCGGUGAAAUGCGUAGAUAUACGGAGGAACACCAGUGGCGAAGGCGGAUUGCUGGACAGUAACUGACGCUGAGGCGCGAAAGCGUGGGGAGCAAACAGG
rnacentral:rRNA from 1 species